rnacentral:lncRNA from 1 species
AGAAUGAAGAGAGAGAGAGGGAGUAGGGGUGACAGAGAGGAGAGAGAAUGAAGAGAGAGAGAGAGAGUAGGGGCUGACAGAGAGGAGAUAGAAUGAAGAGAGAGAGAGAGUAGGGGCUGACAGACAGGAGAUAGAAUGAAGAGAGAGAGAGGGAGUAGGGGCUGACAGAGAGGAGAUAGAAUGAAGAGAGAGAGGGAGUAGGGGCUGACAGAGAGGAGAUAGAAUGAAGAGAGAGAGAGAGAGUAGGGGCUGACAGAGAGGAGAUAGAAUGAAGAGAGAGAGAGGGAGUAAGGGCUGACAGACAGGAGAUAGAAUGAAGAGAGAGAGAGGGAAUAGAAUGAAGAGAGAGAGGGAGUAGGGGCAGACAGAGAGGAGAUAGAAUGAAGAGAGCGAGAGAGGGAGUAGGGGCUGACAGAGAGGAGAUAGAAUGAAGAGAGAGAGAGGGAGUAGGGCUGACAGAGAGGAGAUAGAAUGAAGAGAGAGAGAGGGAGUAGGGGUUGACAGAGAGGAGAUAGAAUGAAGAGAGAGAGGGGGAGUAGGGACUGACAGAGAGGAGAUAGAAUGAAGAGAGAGAGAGGGAGUAGGGGUUGACAGAGAGGAGAUAGAAUGAAGAGAGAGAGAGAGUAGGGGCUGACAGAGAGGAGAUAGAAUGAAGAGAGAGAGAGAGAGAGAGGGAGUAGGGGCUGACAGACAGGAGAUAGAAUGAAGAGAGAGAGAGGGAGUAGGGGCUGACAGAGAGGAGAUAGAAUGAAGAGAGAGAGAGAGAGUAGGGGCUGACAGAGAGGAGAUAGAAUGAAGAGAGAGAGAGGGAGUAGGGGCUGACAGAGAGGAGAUAGAAUGAAGAGAGAGAGAGAGGGAGUAGGGGCUGACAGAGAGGAGAUAGAAUGAAGAGAGAGAGAGGGAGUAGGGGUUGACAGAGAGGAGAUAGAAUGAAGAGAGAGAGGGGGAGUAGGGACUGACAGAGAGGAGAUAGAAUGAAGAGAGAGAGAGGGAGUAGGGGUUGACAGAGAGGAGAUAGAAUGAAGAGAGAGAGAGAGAGUAGGGGCUGACAGAGAGGAGAUAGAAUGAAGAGAGAGAGAGAGAGAGAGGGAGUAGGGGCUGACAGACAGGAGAUAGAAUGAAGAGAGAGAGAGGGAGUAGGGGCUGACAGAGAGGAGAUAGAAUGAAGAGAGAGAGAGAGAGUAGGGGCUGACAGAGAGGAGAUAGAAUGAAGAGAGAGAGAGGGAGUAGGGGCUGACAGAGAGGAGAUAGAAUGAAGAGAGAGAGAGAGACAGAGAGAGGGAGUAGGGGCUGACAGAGAGGAGAUAGAGAGUAGCCAGGGUUAAAAUCUGCUGAGCUGGGACACUAGGGAUGGAGGGAAUGAGGGAGAGAGAGAAAUGGAAUUGAAUUGAG